GCCCGGGUGGCUCAGUGGUUUAGCGCCACCUUUGGCCCAGGAUGUGAUCCUGGAGACGUGGGAUCGAGUCCCACGUCGGGCU
rfam:Canis lupus familiaris chromosome 13, whole genome shotgun sequence.